rnacentral:tRNA from 2 species
GGCCGCGUGGUGGAAUGGUAGACACAGCAGACUUAAAAUCUGCUUCGCUUUUUGCGAGUGCCGGUUCGAGUCCGGCCGCGGCCA